GACAGAGGGGGCAAGCGUUGCUCGGAAUCACUGGGCGUAAAGGGCGCGUAGGCGGGAUGGCAAGUCGGUCGUGAAAUCCUUCGGCUCAACCGAAGAACGUCGGCCGAUACUGCCGUUCUUGAGGGAUGCAGAGGAGAUUGGAAUUCCCGGUGUAGCGGUGAAAUGUGUAGAGAUCGGGAGGAACACCGGUGGCGAAGGCGGGUCUCUGGGCAUCUCCUGACGCUGAGGCGCGAAAGCUAGGGUAGCAAACGGG
rnacentral:rRNA from 1 species